rnacentral:lncRNA from 1 species
CGCCUCCCUCCGAGCGCAGGACGCUCCGACGCCCGCUUGCCCGCAGGCCACCGCAGCCUAAGGUGUGGGGAAGGCUCCCUCUCUGGAGGAGCAGGUCGGAAGACCUCGGUGCAAAAGCAGGGACCCCCUGGCUGACCCUGUUCUCCCUCUGCAAAAUAAAGGAACCCCACCGGUGCAGAACCGUGCCACUGCACCCAUAAGACAGCCCGAGGCUCCUGGCAGACCCUUGACUGAAAGUGGCAACUCCCUCUGGACUGUGUGAGGGCCAGGGGUGAGAGGGUGACAGCAGGAAGAGGCCACCACCCAAGGACAGCUCUGAGCCGGAAUCCUGGAGGAAACGUUAUUAAUAAACAUCUUCUGGACAUUUGGCAGCCCGUGGAGCUUGCUCCAGCUUAAAGCAAUUAAUUCAGGACACCGACAUCAACUCUCCAGGUCUUUGACAGCUUGGAGCCGAAAUAAAAAUGCUAGUUCUCCGGGGAAGAGGGGAGGAGGGCCCGCUCUUUGCUGGACUGUUUGCUUAUGGGCCCAGCGAGCAACCUUCCCUGCAGAAUGAAAUGCAAGGUCGCACACAACGAACCGGCAGAGAAUAGAAGAUGGGAACGAACAGUUUGAACUAUUUGCUCAGCAGAAGGGCACCACAAUGCUGGGGUAGUGGCUUUCCCAUGCAUCCACUGUCCCUUCUUUGGGAUCUUUUGUUGUCCCGUCUCCUUUGGCCAGAUAAGAACACAGCUGCAGCCUUGUGGCUAAGUAAGGCUUCACUUAUCCCCUUAAAUCUCGGGGUGUCUUUUACUGUACCAGGCAUAGAUCAGUUCUUUCUUUUGACCAGGGGACUGGGAGGGAGGGAAGGAAGAAUUGAGGGGGAGGGAACAGACGGAAGACUCUCACAUUGCUGAUGUCUGGUUCAUGCCUUUCUUUCUCUCCUUUUUAAAUCCAAGCUGGGAUAAGAUGUGAUCUUUGUGGGCCAGUUUUAUUAAAGGGUCAGUGUUUUGUGCCAAAAUGUUGCCUCUGGGUGAGAGCUGUGUGUGUAUGCUGUGUAGGGAAGAGUAGUUUUUAAAACUGAGUGUCAAGCCAUUUUCAGAUUCCGUCAGCUGCUAAAAUAGGGCAGAAUUUGAAGGAGUUAAUUUAAAAAUUAUUCAACUGCAAUAGUAAGUUUCUGAAUAUGAAUUUGGGUUCUUCCUCUGGCAGUUCAUUUGUUCCAAAGUGUGUAAUGGUGGUGUAUCAUAUUCGAAAGAGGUUGACCCAGAGAUGGGGCAUAAACGUGCUUCUGUACUUGCUGGAAAUUACACUUAUUCCCAGAGUAAAUUCCACCUCCAGCAUCAGUAAUGUGCUCUCUCCUACAUGCACCCUCGUACAAAGCACAGCUUGUUUUAACCACCACAAAAGAAAGUGGACACAUGCAUAGCCUUCCGUUUAUAUCGAAGUUGACAUUUCUGAAGUUAUUUUAAAGACAAAAAUUGAACUGAGUCUUUGUGCUGCUGGAUGCUGUCUUCUGACUCCAUGGACUUUACCACUAGUUGGGAGUGAGGCUCCUCUGACUCUUAAUUCUAUUGUAAUAAGGCUGAUUUAGCAUGAAUGGUCUUACAAGGUGAAAAGGCAAAAAAAGUUUUAUGCCAAAGAAAAUGCUUUGCUAUGAGUGCAUGAAACAUUCGCCAUCCAAAGUCCAUGUGCUCCCAGUAAGUUUGGGGACUUUGAAUGCUUGAAUGUCUGUGUCACGUCUGUUUUCCCACUAACAAAACUGGUAGG